rnacentral:lncRNA from 1 species
CUCAAACUGAAACAUGAGCUCUUCCUGGGUCUUAAGUCUGCUGAACUUUGGCCCAGAACCACACUAGCUCUCUUGGUUCUUAAACCCCAGUUACAGAUGGGAAUUAUACCACCAGUGUUGUUGGGUCUCCGGCUUGCUGACUGCAGAUCUGGGGAUUUGUCAGCCUCCAAUGCCUUGAAAAUGGAAAUAUCAUCCCUUACUCGGAACAGUUGAAGUUGCCAAACCCGGGGUUGACAGAAGGAUAAGACGCCAGGGUGAGUAGUGGUUACACUUUUCUUAAAAUUGUAUCCUCUAUAUAGUAUCUUUUG